rnacentral:lncRNA from 1 species
AUUUUCUCUUUGUGGAGGCUGGGUUCGCGUGCUCUUCUGAGCUGUGGUCGUCAUGGACCGGAAGCGUGUGCGGCGCGCCUGCCUUGAGGCCAGCAUCAGGGAAGGGUGUCCCAGGUGCAGGCGAAGCUUCCUUCAGGUGCUCCUGGAGGACUUUUGGCUCGCAAGCGCUUCUCCAUUCUCCCAACGUCUCGGGCCUGAUGUUAUCAUCUCCCUAUCCUUGGCUGCACCUGAAAAGAGCAGGAGCCGGCAGGUAACCCGAUCGCCUCCCCCAGGAGGUGAAGUGAAAUCUGCAAGAGUCCUGCUCGUUCAAGGCCUGCAUACAGGAAAGAAGCAGGGGAAAAGCGUUAGAAACAGCUUUUGUUCUACAGCAUUUUAAAAUAUAAUAGGUAUAUUGAAAAGUCUGAUUCAGUUACAAUCAGUGUAUGGAAUCACAAGAAGAUCCAUAAGAAACAAGGUGCUGGAUUUCUCCGUUGUGUUCGUCUUUUUCCAGUGCCAUCAACCACCUCAAAGACACUGGUUAUCAGAGGUUGGAUUUAUGCAAACUUGGGCCAAAGGACAGUUAGAAGACAGUAGUAAGUCUUCAGUCCAGGGACCAAAUCGGCACAGGAGGACAAGUUGUGGACUGCAGUCAUUUAUUUGAUAAUGAUUUACCAGACAACUGAAGAAGCAUCUGUAGGGAAUCCAGAAGGAGCAUUCAUGAAGAUGUUACAAGCCCGGAAGCAGCACAUGAGCACUGAGCUGACUAUUGAGUCGGAGGCGCCCUCAGACAGCAGUGGCAUCAACUUGUCAGGCUUUGGGAGUGAGCAGCUAGACACCAAUGACGAGAGUGAUGUGAUCAGCUUGAAAUUCAGCUAACCGAGCAGCUACGGUCCCUCAUCCCCAACGAGGAUGUGAGAAAGUUCAUGUCUCAUGUUAUCUGGACCUUGAAAAUGGAAUGUUCAGAAACACAUGUGCAAGGGAGCUGUGCCAAGCUCAUGUCGCGAACAGGCCUCCUGAUGAAGCUUCUCAGCGAGCAGCAGGAAGCAAAGGCAUUGAAUGUAGAAUGGGAUACGGACCAACAAAAAACAAAUUAUAUUAAUGAGAACAUGGAACAGAAUGAACAGAAAGAGCAGAAGUCAAGUGAGCUCAUGAAAGAAGUUCCAGGAUAUGACUAUAAGAACAAACUCAUCUUCGCAAUAUCUGUGACUGUCAUACUAAUAAUUUUGAUUAUAAUUUUUUGUUUUAUAGAGGUAAAGACAAUAAUUAAUUCAGGUUUUCAAAAUACAAUCCUGUGUUUGUGUGGAUUCAGAAUCCACAAACUGAAAACCAACGUCACUUUCCCACUUGACAUUCUUCUUCUGUCAUUUAAGGCUGAGGUGUGCUUUGUUCUUUUACUGCAAUGUAUAUUCCAGGAUUGUUAAAGGAUCCUCGCUUCCAGGAGGUCUCUGUGAAAUAAAACCAAGUUAAUCCCACUA